GUGGGUAUAGCUCAGUGGUAAAGCGCGUGCCUAGCAUACACGAGGUCCUGGAUUCAACACCCAGUAUCUCCA
rnacentral:tRNA from 1 species